UGAAUACGAGACGCUAAGGCGUCGAAGUAGUGUAUGUCAUACUUCCAAGAAAAGCUUGCACUGUCAUAGAUAAAAAACGCCUGUACCAUAACCGACACAGGUGGGUAGGUAGAGUAUACUAAGGGGCGCGAGAUAACUCUCUCUAAGGAACUCGGCAAAAUAACUCCGUAACUUCGGGAGAAGGAGUGCCUUAUUCGUAAGGUUGCAAUAACAAGAUCCAAGCAACUGUUUAUCAAAAACACAGGUCUCCGCUAAGUCGUAAGACGAUGUAUGGGGGCUGACGCCUGCCCAGUGCCAGAAGGUUAAAGAAGUUGGUUAGCAAUUGCGAAGCUGAUAACUGAAGCCCUGGUGAACGGCGGCCGUAACGAUAACGGCCCUAAGGUAGCGAAAUUCCUUGUCGGGUAAGUUCCGACCCGCACGAAAGGCGUAAUGAUUUGGAUACUGUCUCGGAGAGGGGCUCGGUGAAAUAGACUUGUCUGUGAAGAUGCGGACUACCUGCACCAGGACAGAAAGACCCUAUGAAGCUUUACUGUAACUUGAAAUUGAAAUUGGACUUUAUUCGCGCAGUAUAGGUGGGAGGCGUUGAUUAUAAUCUUGUGGGAUUAUUGGAGCCAUCAGUGAGAUACCACUCUUGUAAUGUUAGAUUUCUAACUUUGAAUCAUUAUCUGGUCAAAGAACAGUUUCAGGCGGGCAGUUUGACUGGGGCGGUCGCCUCCUAAACGGUAACGGAGGCGUACAAAGGUUUCCUCUGAACGGUUAGAAAUCGUAUCUAGAGUGUAAAGGCAUAAGGAAGCUUGACUGUGACACCUACAAGUCGAGCAGGGACGAAAGUCGGUCUUAGUGAUCUGACGGUACUGAGUGGAAAGGCCGUCACUCAACGGAUAAAAGUUACUCUAGGAUAACAGGCUGAUCUCCCCCAAGAGUUCACAUCGACGGGGAGGUUUGGCACCUCGAUGUCGGCUCAUCGCAUCCUGGGGCGGUAGUACGUCCCAAGGGUUGGGCUGUUCGCCCAUGAAAGCGGUACGCGAGCUGGGUUCAGAACGUCGUGAGACAGUUCGGUCCAUAUCCGGUGUAGGCGUUAGAAUAUUGAGAGGAGCCUUCUUUAGUACGAGAGGACCGAGAAGGACAUACCUCUGGUGUACCAGUUAUCGUGCCAACGGUAAACGCUGGGUAGCUAUGUAUGGAGUGGAUAACCGCUGAAAGCAUCUAAGUGGGAAGCCCACCUCAAGAUAAGUAUUCUC
rnacentral:rRNA from 1 species